AUGGUGAAAGGCGUCCGCUUCUAUGUGUGCCCUCAAGGGCAUGGAGCAAUUGUCCAGCCAGAGAAAGUAAAGCAUUAUUUAACAGUGUACUAUAUGUCACCCUUUGCCACCAUGAUACUAGCUCUACCAGCAAUAUUGCUCGAAGGAGGCGUUGUAAUCAACUUGUUCUACACUCACGACCCCAUCUUUUCUAUGCUGAUUAUCAUCCUCGGCUCAGGGGUGCUCAACUUCUCCAUCUUCGACGUGAUCUGUUCAACCACAGGGUGCCCUUCAAUGUUACUGGCAAUCUUCAAAAGCUGA
rnacentral:rRNA from 1 species